CCCUUAGAUGUCCUGGGCUGCACGCGCGCUACACUGAUGCGUCCAAUAAGCACCUAACCUAAUCCGAAGGGACCGGGUAACCUUAGCAAAGCGCAUCGUGAUGGGGAUAGAUUAUUGCAAUUAUUAGUCUUGAACGAGGAAUGCCUAGUAGGCGCAAGUCAUCAGCUUGCGUCGAUUACGUCCCUGCCCUUUGUACACACCGCCCGUCGCUCCUACCGAUUGGGUGUGCUGGUGAAAUGUUCGGAUCGGCCGUUUGUCGCGGUUUCCGCGUCAUGUGGCUGAGAAGUUCAUUAAACCCUCCCACCUAGAGGAAGGAGAAGUCGUAACA
rnacentral:rRNA from 1 species